rnacentral:rRNA from 1 species
UACGUAGGGGGCAAGCGUUGUCCGGAUUUAUUGGGCGUAAAGAGCGUGUAGGCGGUUAGGUAGGUCCGUUGCGAAAACUCGAGGCUCAACCUCGAGACGCCGAUGGAAACCAUCUGACUAGAGUCCGGAAGAGGAGAGUGGAAUUCCUGGUGUAGCGGUGAAAUGCGCAGAUAUCAGGAAGAACACCCGUGGCUAAGGCGGCUCUCUAGUACGUGACUGACGCUGAGACGCGAAAGCGUGGGGAGCGAACAGG